AAUAUGAAAAAAAAAUUCUUUCUUUUUGCCUCCAUAGUACUCCAAAGAUAUGAAACCAUGAUGAUUAUUAUCCCUUAUUAUUUUGGCUACUCUGUAUAGGUUUUUAAGUCAUAUAGCUCCUAACGUUGUGAAGUGUGUUUACACAUCCCUGACUUUCGGAUGUUUAGGUUUGAGUGUGUUUACACAUCCCUGACUUUCGGAUGUUUAAGUUUGAGUGUGUUUACACAUCCCUGACUUUCAGAUGUUUAGGUUUAAGUGUGUUUACACAUCCCUGACUUUCGGAUGUUUAGGUUUGAGUGUGUUUACACAUCCCUGACUUUCGGAUGUUUAGGUUUGAGUGAGUUUACACAUCCCUAACUUUCGGAUGUUUAGGUUUGAGUGUGUUUACACAUCCCUGACUUUCAGAUGUUUAGGUUUGAGUGUGUUUACACAUCCCUGACUUUCGGAUGUUUAGGUUUGAUUGUGUUUACACAUCCCUGACUUUCGGAUGUUUAGGUUUGAGCGUUUAUAACAAAGGUAAAUCCAGUAAAGCGCUUCAGACGCACACAAUUUAUAACGUGUUUAGUCCAUUUUAUAACAGCCUUUCUCUUUCAAGUAUACAGUAAUGUAACAUGCAAUUGUUUUCAACAAGAAAAACAUUCAUAAAUUGCUAACAAAAACAACACCUAUAUCUCUUGCUUCUUAAUGUUAACAAAAUGAACUAUAACAAAAAUAAGUUUUGUAGAAGAGUAAGAGAUUCUAGUUUAUAUUGAACAAAACGAGUAAAACAUAAUGACUAAAAAUAAUGAUAACGCUCCCUAUUAAAGAUUUAAAUAGUACUUCAUAUAUUGUUAUCAUGUCGAACUUAUCUCCAUAAGAAAAAUCCUUAACUUAUGGAUCUCUUUCUUGUACUGUUUCGUGUCUAUUUAUUAUGAUGUGACUGCACUCUGCAAUUCAAUGUAUACCAUCAAACUUCACACAUGACUAUGUUCCUCCCUUUAACUCAUCGUUUGUUUGAUGUUUCAAUCAUUUGAUUGCAAA